rnacentral:rRNA from 1 species
GAUGAACGCUAGCUACAGGCUUAACACAUGCAAGUCGCGGGGCAGCAUGGGGGUUGCUUGCAAUCCCCGAUGGCGACCGGCGCACGGGUGAGUAACGCGUAUCCAACCUGCCCUUCACCACGGGAUAACCCGGCGAAAGUCGGACUAAUACCGUAUGUUGUCCAUUGACGGCAUCCGAUUUGGACGAAAGGCUUGGCGGUGAGGGAUGGGGAUGCGUCCGAUUAGCCAGACGGCGGGGUAACGGCCCACCGUGGCUACGAUCGGUAGGGGUUCUGAGAGGGAGGUCCCCCACAAUGGAACGGAGGCACCGGCCAGACUCCUAAGGGAGGCAGCAGUGAGGAAUAUUGGGCAAUGGGCGUAAGCCUGAACCAGCCAAGUAGCGGGCAGGAUGACGGCCCUAUGGGUUGUAAACUGCUUUUAUGCGGGGAUAAAGUGGCCCACGUGUGGGCUUUUGCAGGUACCGCAUGAAUAAGGACCGGCUAAUUCCGUG